GACGUGGACGCAAGAAAAAGGAGAGUGAGCCGGAGCCGGAGUUGGCAGGCGUGGAGUGUAGGCCGGACGGCGGCGCCGGGCGGAGGCGGUGAGGCAGCUACCUUGGUCAGUGACCACCUUGCAGUAUGUUGAGUCAAGUCUGCCGCUCUGGGUUCCAGUCCUUCACCCAGCAUCUCCUGCCCUGGGUCCAAUCCACCACACUCUCCAGAUCCGGUCACAUCCAGCCUUCGGCCAUCAGACAUGUUCGUUCUUGGAGCAACAUUCCCUUUAUCACUGUUCCCCUCAGUCGUACACAUGGCAAGUCUUUUGCCCACCGCAGUGAGCUGAAGCAUGCCAAGAGAAUCGUGGUGAAACUCGGAAGUGCCGUGGUGACCCGAGGGGACGAAUGUGGCCUGGCACUGGGGCGCCUGGCAUCUAUUGUUGAGCAGGUGUCAGUGCUGCAGAAUCAAGGACGAGAGAUGAUGCUGGUGACCAGUGGAGCCGUAGCCUUUGGCAAGCAACGCUUACGCCAUGAGAUCCUGCUGUCUCAGAGUGUGCGGCAGGCCCUACACUCAGGGCAGAACCAGCUGAAGGAGAUGGCAAUUCCAGUCUUAGAAGCCCGAGCCUGUGCAGCUGCUGGACAGAGUGGGCUGAUGGCCUUAUAUGAAGCCAUGUUUACCCAGUAUAGCAUCUGUGCUGCGCAGAUUUUGGUGACCAAUUUGGAUUUCCACGAUGAGCAGAAGCGCCGGAACCUCAAUGGGACACUUCAUGAGCUCCUCCGAAUGAACAUUGUCCCCAUCGUCAACACAAAUGAUGCUGUCGUCCCCCCAGCAGAGCCCAAUAGUGAUCUCCAGGGGGUUAUUAGUGUUAAGGAUAAUGAUAGCCUGGCUGCCCGUCUAGCCGUGGAAAUGAAAACUGACCUUUUGAUUGUUCUUUCAGAUGUCGAAGGCCUCUUUGACAGCCCCCCAGGGUCAGAUGAUGCAAAGCUCAUUGAUAUAUUUUAUCCUGGAGAUCAGCAGUCUGUAACAUUUGGAACCAAGUCCAGAGUGGGAAUGGGUGGCAUGGAAGCCAAGGUGAAAGCAGCCCUCUGGGCUUUGCAAGGUGGCACGUCUGUGGUCAUUGCCAAUGGGACCCACCCAAAGGUGUCUGGGCACGUCAUCACAGACAUCGUGGAGGGAAAGAAGGUUGGCACCUUCUUUUCUGAAGUAAAGCCUGCAGGCCCUACCGUGGAACAGCAAGGGGAAAUGGCUCGAUCAGGAGGAAGGAUGUUGGCCACUUUGGAACCUGAGCAGAGAGCAGAGAUUAUCUAUCAUCUGGCUGAUUUGUUGACGGACCAGCGAGAUGAGAUCCUGUUAGCCAACAAAAAGGACAUGGAGGAGGCAGAGGGAAGACUUGCAGCUCCUCUGCUGAAACGUUUGAGCCUAUCCACGUCUAAACUGAACAGCCUGGCCAUCGGUCUGCGGCAGAUUGCAGCCUCCUCACAGGACAGCGUGGGGCGGGUUUUGCGCCGGACCCGAAUUGCCAAAAACUUGGAACUAGAACAAGUGACUGUCCCAAUUGGAGUGUUACUGGUCAUCUUUGAGUCUCGCCCUGACUGCCUACCUCAGGUGAAUACCAGAGAAGAAGUGGAAGACCUUUGCCGCCUAGACAAAAUGAUAGAUCUCAUCAUCCCACGUGGCUCUUCCCAGCUGGUCAGAGACAUCCAGAAAGCUGCUAAGGGCAUUCCAGUGAUGGGGCACAGUGAAGGGAUCUGCCACAUGUAUGUGGAUUCAGAGGCUAGUGUCGACAAGGCCACCAGACUAGUCAGAGACUCUAAAUGUGAAUAUCCAGCCGCCUGUAAUGCUUUGGAGACCCUCUUAAUCCACCGAGAUCUGCUGAGAACACCAUUGUUUGACCAGAUCAUUGACAUGCUGAGAGUGGAACAGGUGAAGAUUCAUGCAGGCCCAAAGUUCGCCUCCUAUCUGACCUUCAGCCCCUCUGAAGUGAAGUCUCUCCGAACUGAGUACGGGGACCUGGAACUGUGCAUAGAAGUGGUGGACAGCGUGCAGGAGGCCAUCGACCACAUCCACAAGUACGGCAGCUCCCACACAGAUGUCAUCGUCACAGAGAACGAAAAGACAGCAGAGUUCUUCCUCCAGCAUGUGGAUAGCGCCUGUGUGUUCUGGAAUGCCAGCACUCGCUUCUCUGAUGGCUACCGCUUUGGACUGGGAGCUGAAGUGGGAAUCAGUACAUCCCGAAUCCACGCCCGGGGACCAGUGGGACUUGAAGGAUUGCUUACUACCAAGUGGCUGCUGCGAGGGGAGGACCACGUGGUCUCAGACUUCUCAGAGCACGGAAGCUUAAAGUAUCUUCACGAGAACCUCCCUGUUCCCCAGAGAAACACCAACUGAAAGCAUUCAGAGGAGAGCCGGACAUGUUUUGAGGGGUCUUCCCAGUUAAAAUGGUCUUCUGCACCUCAGGGGAUGGACCAGGCCUUCUUGUCUCCUGCUUCCUGGAAGGGUCUCCUGUUGGAACGUGCACCUUGAUGCUUCUGGGCUCUGUGGCAACAUCAGCCUGGGCCAAAGACUCCGUUCCAGCUUACUCUUUUCUUUCUUUCUUCCUUCUUUCCUUCCUUUCUCUCUCUUUUUCUUCCUCUCUCUCUUUCUUUCUAAGUUAGAUAACAGUCGCUGUAGUUAGGGACUUUGCUUAAUUGCUACGGAUGGGGACUUUGCCUCACAUAGUGUAAUUCCCUUCAGUGAUAGAAACAGAAAGGUGCCAUUUCCCCACAUAAAAGGCAGUGGAAAAUCAUGGUUGCUUUUUACCUUUUAUCGCCUCAAUGAGGUAAAGUCUCCCUUGGCAUUUGGUAGUUACAAGAGCCAGUCACACCUAAUAAGUCUUUCCAUGUUUCAUUUCUUUCAUACUCCUAGUCAUCUUCAAAAAGGAAAGAUUUGGAACUUAGAAGAGAGACAGCUCUUCUUUUUAGCAUUCUCAUCAUAAGCAAUCACAAAAAGGACUAAAUCAUUUGCACUGGGAAGAUUGACAUUUUGUAUUUAUUGGAGUAAAUAUAAGUAAACUCUCUGGAUCCAGGGGCUUGCCACUACCUGGACACAGUUGGAACCCAGAGCUGCAGAUAGGAGGUACAAGUUUCAGGAUGAAGUACCUGCAGCCAUUGUGCUUGAAAUUUUUUUACGAAUUAUUUUGUCAUCCUUUCCUUUCCCAAAAAAAAACAAAAAUUAGAGGAUUAUUUUAAUACUUUGGAUUCUUCCCUCCUUUUUGAGAAAUAAAGUUCUUAUGAAAAGC
rnacentral:lncRNA from 1 species